ACCCCCUCCAGCUGCCCACCUAAACUUCCUGGACCUCCACAAGCUCAGCUCCCUCCACGUCUCACUUCUUGGAUCUCAGCCCCUGCAAAGCCUCUCAACCCAGACCGGACCACUCCUCCCUCAAACCAGUUCCUUCCUUUCCAGACCAUUUCCCGCACCAGCUUCCUUGUGCAAGAACUCAGCUACGUUUACGCUGCUUCCUUGGUUUCCCUUUUAAUAAAUCCUUAUUUAAACAUUUUA